GACAGAGGGUGCAAGCGUUGUUCGGAAUCAUUGGGCGUAAAGGGCGCGUAGGCGGUGGCUUAAGCGUGCGGUGAAAGCUCGGGGGCUCAACCCCGAGUCGGCCGUGCCGAACUGGGCUCACUGGAGCAUAGUAGAGGCAGGUGGAAUUCCGGGUGUAGCGGUGGAAUGCGUAGAGAUCCGGAAGAACACCGGUGGCGAAAGGCGGCCUGCUGGGCUAUGGCUGACACUGAGGCGCGACAGCGUGG
rnacentral:rRNA from 1 species